UUCUUAGGGAUCCUCCACCUCAGGGGAUCUGAGGUAGCUUCUGGUAUUCUCACCUACGUCUCUAGUGUGGACUUUGCAGCUAGGACAAUGGUAGCCAUGGACCCUGAGCCUUCUGAGUCUGGGGUGGAACCCUUAUCCUAUGUGUGCUGACUGAUGGAGAAAGAGUCUCCAGGUAUCCCUGCACUUCUGCAGAGUUGACUCUCCUGUGCCGUGGAAGGGGACACGCCAUGGCGGCCUCUCUUAGAGAAGCACCAGAGCCCUUCACUGGCAGAGGGGAGCAAGAAUCCUUCAUUUUCUUCGCACCCACACAUGCUCAGGAACUCCCUCACAAGGCCUUCCCACAGUGGGAUGCUUAGCUCUAUGGAACCAAAUCAACACAAGAAAACCC
ensembl:processed_transcript uncharacterized LOC110325325